rnacentral:rRNA from 1 species
UACAGAGGGUGCGAGCGUUAAUCGGAAUUACUGGGCGUAAAGCGUGCGUAGACGGUAGCGUAAGUCAGAUGUGAAAGCCCCGGGCUCAACCUGGGAAUUGCAUUUGAGACUGCUCUGCUCGGGUGCGGAAGAGGGAAGCGGAAUUUCCGGUGUAGCGGUGAAAUGCGCAGAUAUCAGGAGGAACACCAAUGGCGAAGGCAGCUCGCUGGGACGGUACUGACGCUGAGACGCGAAGCGUGGGGAGCAAACAGG